UACGUAGGGUGCAAGCGUUGUCCGGAAUUAUUGGGCGUAAAGAGCUCGUAGGCGGUUUGUCGCGUCUGCUGUGAAAACUCGGGGCUUAACCCCGGGCCUGCAGUGGGUACGGGCAGACUAGAGUGUGGUAGGGGAGACUGGAAUUCCUGGUGUAGCGGUGAAAUGCGCAGAUAUCAGGAGGAACACCGGUGGCGAAGGCGGGUCUCUGGGCCGUAACUGACGCUGAGGAGCGAAAGCGUGGGGAGCGAACAGG
rnacentral:rRNA from 1 species